UACGUAGGGUGCAAGCGUUGUCCGGAAUUAUUGGGCGUAAAGAGCUCGUAGGCGGUCUGUUGCGUCGGCUGUGAAAACCCGGGGCUCAACCCCGGGCCUGCAGCCGAUACGGGCAGACUAGAGUUCGGCAGGGGAGACUGGAACUCCUGGUGUAGCGGUGAAAUGCGCAGAUAUCAGGAGGAACACCGGUGGCGAAGGCGGGUCUCUGGGCCGAUACUGACGCUGAGGAGCGAAAGCGUGGGGAGCGAACAGG
rnacentral:rRNA from 1 species